rnacentral:rRNA from 1 species
CCCUUAGAUGUUCUGGGCAGCACACGCGCUACAAUGGUCUUCGCAAACGGAUGCAUUCUCGAAGGAGAAUGCCAAUCUUGGAAUCUAUGCCUUGGUCGGGACAGUUGCUUGCAAUUUUUCGACUCGAACCAGGAAUUCCUUGUAAUCGUGAUUCAUCACAUCACGAUGAAUACGUCCCUGCCCUUUGUACACACCGCCCGUCGCUCCUACCGAUCGAAGAGUUAGGUGAAUUGUUUUGAUCGAUAAGAUUUGACUAUGGUCAACUCUCGUUGUGAAAUUCUGUGAAUCUGACUGUUUAGAGGAAGGAAAAGUCGUAACA